rnacentral:misc_RNA from 1 species
GAUGAAGAACGUAGCGAAAUGCGAUAAGUAGUGUGAAUUGCAGAUUUCAGUGAAUCAUCGAAUCUUUGAACGCACAUUGCGCCCUUUGGUAUUCCGAAGGGCAUGCCUGUCUGAGCGUCAAUAAAUCAAUCAAACCUUGGUUUGGUAUUGGGAGAAGUGGCAUUGCCUCUCUCCUUUAAGCUAUUGGCGACGCUAUUUCAGCUUGUAAGAUGUAGUAAGUAAUUUCUCGUCAAAGCAACUGGAUGGAUGUCUGCCAAAUGAACGAUUUAUUUAACAGCUUGACCUCAGAUCAGGUAGGGAUACCCCCUGAACUUAAGCAUAUCAAUAAGCGGAGGA